rnacentral:rRNA from 1 species
UACAGAGGUGGCAAGCGUUGUUCGGAAUUACUGGGCGUAAAGGGCGCGUAGGCGGCCCGUCAAGUCCCGUGUGAAAGCCCCCGGCUCAACCGGGGAACGGCGCGGGAAACUAGCAGGCUUGAGUUCGGGAGAGGGAAGCGGAAUUCCGGGUGUAGCGGUGAAAUGCGCAGAUAUCCGGAGGAACACCGGUGGCGAAGGCGGCUUCCUGGACCGAAACUGACGCUGAGGCGCGAAAGCUAGGGGAGCAAACGGG